UUAUUUUGAAAUUGGAAUUUUUAAUUCUGCUUCUAACUAAAAGUUGAUCAUACUCAUUUUUAAUUACUACUAAUACUGCUAUUACCAGGUUUUAACUAUUGACCUCUCCACAACAAUAGUAUAAAUUAUAAUGGAAGCCGAAACACUACCAAACAAAAAAAAACUUCAUAAGGGAAAAUUGAAGAAAGCUAUGAAAUAUGUAAUCUGUAGGCCUGAUCCCAUAUAUUGGCCUGUACUGUCUCAAGAACAUGGAAAACAAUUAGAAUUGGCACUAGGCGAAUAUAAAAUUGACACACCAGUGUUUAAAAAAUUACACUGGAAUGAAUUAAAAUGUAUACCUAAAGAAACAAGACCUAAACCACCACCAAUAAAGAUAGUUGAUGGUUUUAUAUUUGGCACAGCAGCAACUAAAGCAGCAUUAAAGAAUUGUCAGUGCUCUGCAGUAAUAAUAGAAGCAUUAGUAAAUCCCCGAGCAAUUGUACAGCCAGUCAUUGAGGAAUGCAUUAACACAAGAACCCCUAUAGUUUGUUUGACGAAUUUGAAAAAAAUUUGUUUCCAGUAUUUUAGAAUUCCCACAAGUUGUUUAGCCAUUAAAACGGAUAGUCUGCAUAACCUCAAAAAUAAAAUACUUGAAAUUUCGCAAUUCUACAAAAAUGAUCUACAAUUGGAAUCAGAAGAUAAACAUAUAAAUGUGGAUGUAGAAAUGAAAGUUUGCUCACAAGAAGAAAAACCUGUUAAGUCUGUGAACUCUGUCGAAAUUUAUCCAUAUUUGUAUAGAACUAACAAAACUUCCAGAGUAUUUGUACCUGAUGAAGUAAUCACACAAAAGAGAAUGGAGUUUUCAGGUCAAGAUUACAUAAAUUUUACAGACAAAAAGAAACAAGAGAGCACUAAUUACAUGAGAAUGAUUGUAAAGAGAAUAACUAGCAAUCCGAAUAGAGCAAAAAAUAAACGAAAAAUUGAUAUGUAGCACAUAUUUUUUAUUUAUAAAAUACAAAUGAGCUAUGAUGUCAAAAAGACAUUUAUCCUUAUACAUUCAUCAAUGAAUGUAAAAAUUAAUAGGUAGAUGGUAACUUUACAUACAACGUAAAGUUGUUAACCAUCCAGUCUAUUUGUAAACAAAUUUCACCAUUUCUCUGGGAAACAUUUUCCGCAAUAUGAGAUUACGUACCAAACCCGGCACACGACAGGGUCAUGAGGGCGCCGAAGCGGAUCUACAGAUGAUCAUUGACCUUCAACGUGUGCGCAACGUCCAUCCUUGUACCGGUUGUAAUUCAUUAUACUACGAAUUCACCAAAAGCGAUUCUCGAGUUUUUAUUAAUCUAAAAGGCCACGUUAACUGUUUAGAGGGUUUACUUGAAUUAAACGUAUUUUAUUAAUUAGUCAUUGUCGAACGAGAUCCGCAUUGAGACCUAGUUGGCGGAUACUGUAGUUCUAAAUUGAGAUUCAUUUCGGACAGUUUCACUUUGCACGAACGUGUUAUUGCAGAUUAAUGAAAACUAGAGGUCCCGCAAUAGUCGAAAUUCGACUAUAAUUUAUUGGAAUUGUAAGUUUGUACACUAUUAUGAUUAAUUUUUUAUACUUCUAUAAUCACAAAUUUCGCCAAGACUACACUAUAAAGAAAAAAUAUUAACAAAGACAAACAAUAUUUAAUCUAUUCUCAAUUUGACAACAGACAUCAAGAACAAAAGUUUGACAAUAAAUAGUAUGCAUGCGUGUGUGCGUAAAAUACAUGGUAUGUAGUGUGUGUAAUGUUUUCUUUAUUGAUUUAAUGUAUCUUUUAUGCAUUAUUUUACAAAAAAAAUAGCAUUGUGCACUUCUUCUCUAUAUUCUCUAUAAGUGUGGAAAAUUUCAUACUCCUCCGUCCGCGCAAUAGUCGUAAAAAGGGAUACAAAGUUUUUGGUUCACGUAUUAAUAUAAAGAAGAUAAAAUCAACACGAAACAUCAAAACGAUGACGGAAAUGGUUAAUUAUUAAAAGCGUUUACAUGCAUUUUAAAUAUACACGUUGGAUGUCAUCGCGAAUAAUAGCUUCUCAAUAAUAAUAACAUGUGCUGUAAAACAAACAGGUUCUUUUCCUUUCGUAUAAUCCAAAUGAAUUCGUAAUGUUGGAUGUUAAAGUUUAGUAGGCCUCCGCUGGGAGCCAACAUCCGGCUAAUGUCGCACGGAAGCGACCUGCCUUCACGUAAAGCCGGAUACGACUUUCUAAAAGUAUACUGAACAACCUAUUGCAGGUUUAAGGUGACACGGAUUUAGUUGAAAUGCAAAUUUUGAAUGAACGGCGCGGCGUCAAGUUCGUUAUCCAAAAUUUAAUUUUCAAUCUAAUAAUUUAUUUGAUACGUCUGCAUAUAUGUAACAAAAUACAUAAAUUUAUCGUAUUAAAUUUUUAAAACUAAAUAAUAUAUUCAACAGUUCAUGUUCCGUAUUAUUUGAUAUUUUGUUCUUAUAUAAUGCAAGGUUUAUCAUGUCAACUUCUUAGAGCUAUUUAUUUUUCUUCGCGCCGCGAUAGAGAGAGCCAACGUAGGUACCUUUCGAAGAAUUACUAUGUAGAAAAUCGUUGUAGCGUCUAUUUCCUCAUGACGAGUAGCAAACGUUUCAUACAAAACAAAAAAACCCAAUGGAUUAUCCCGCUUUAUUUUAGCAACGUUAAUUUACGCGGGCCAAAAGUUUGUUUACGUUUUUUUUUUUACUUUUUUUCCGAUCAUCUCGUUGUGUUCCAAUAAAAAAAUGGUACGACACAAUGCGUCAUUGUAUUUGGAACAGUAAUUACAAGAUAUUGUUUCUUGUUUUCAAAGCCAAAGCUACAGAAAAACAUUCUAAAUAGAUUAUUCACGAGCCACUAAAUCUAACGAAGGUCAUGCGAUUAUCUGCAAACUAUUCAAUAGAAUUGUUUCUCUUUUUUUUUUCAAUCUAUGAAAGUAUUGCAAAGGAAUCUUAUACGUUUCUCUCUUAAGUACCUUUUUUAAUUUUCUUUCGCUCUAAAAUUUAUUGUUACACUAAACCAAAGUCAACUUACUUACUUACUGGUUUAAUUUCAAAAAUUAUUUAUUUUACAACGUUUGCUAUUUCCAAUACAGGUAAGUUUUCGCGGUUAACUGUUUUUAGGACGCUUUCAUUAUACUAGUGGUCCCCUGCAAUAGUCGAAAUUCGACUAUAAUAAUAAUUAAAUUAUUAUGUUUGAUCACUAUUAAGGUUCUAUUGUCAAAUACUAUUUAUUAUACUUCUUUAAUCACAUAUUUCACUAAGACUAUACUAUAGACAAAUAAUAUUACAAACAACAUUAAUCUAUUCUCAAUUUGACCACAGACUUUAAACAAUAACAAAAGUUUAACAAUAUACAAAGAGUGUAUGUAUAUAUGUGUUGUGUCAAAUACAGGGUAGUGUGUGUAAUUUUUAAUUUAUUGAUUUAAUGUAUUUUUUAUGCAUAGUUUAAAAAUAAAUUAGCAUUCUGCACUCCUUUAUAUUCACUGUAAUUGUGGGAAAUUUCAACUCCUCUGUUCGCGCAAUUUUCUUACAAAGGGGUACAAAGUUUUUGCUUCGCGUAUUAAUAUAUAGAUACCUAAAGCUUAUUUUGAUCGAAUUCAAGAUGUCUGAUUAACUUGAAGAUUUGCACACAAUACAAUUAUUUUAUAACUUCGCUCUGAUAUCUUGAUCAAUAUAAUAAAAUUUAGUUUUUAUUUCGGGUUGAAGUUUAAGCUUUUUUGUUUUGUUUUUAAACUACCUACAUAUAUUAUUAUUGUUUUUAAAAAUCAUGCUUUUUACAUUAUGUUAGAUAAAGGACCUUAAAUUAUAUAUUUAUGUAUGGGAAGCGAGUAAAGAGAAUCGCAGAUGUUAUACAAUUCCGUUCGACUUAAGAAACUUAAGUCAAACUAACUAGCAUACAAGAUUUAUUAUUGUGGAGAAAUGGAAAAGCAGUGGAUAUGUUUUUUUCUUUUUUUUUUCUACCUAAGCUGGUAAGCCUUGAGAGGCUAUUCCAGCGUAACUUUAACUAGUAGGUGAGCUCACGGGGCUCAAACCUGACGACGUUGCUAACACGAACCCUAGCAAGAGCCGUGCUUCGCAGAAUCUACCACCGGAUCGGAAACGCGACCCACUGAGAAGAUCCGGCGAGAUACUCAGUGGGCUGUGUCUGAGGGUUAAUUUACUCGUCGAGCCCUUUGUCGCAAGCGACGGGUUCGACGAGAACGAUGACCGGGUGGAUAUGUGAAUUAAAUAUAAACUAUAUGGAAUAGUUAUAAAAUCGGAAUAUAGCGGAAUCUUCAUGAAUUUAUUUGUUAAGUGAAUUUAUUAAUAUAUUCCUUUUAAUACUGUAUAAACUAUUAUAUGUAUGUAUAUGUGUUUGUGUUAAUAUGUAUAUAUGUAUAUAUCUUUUUGUGUAUUUAUUUGUAAUUUAAUAUAAAUUUUAUUUCACCUACUACUAUUUACUCUGCAUGGUUGACUGGUAGAGAAUGCCUUAGGCAUUAAAUCCGCCAAUGUAAAUUUUACAUGAAGCGUAAUAAAUAAAUUAGUAAAUAAAUAAAUAGGGCAUUUGACAGUAAUACCUGACCCAAAUAAUAUAUUAGGUCUACUGCACCUAAUGUCAGCCUACCUACAUUUUGUAGCAGUUCUAGUUUGAAUUGAAUAUUUAGUGAGUUAUCCGAUUCAAAUCGUAAUUACAUUUGGUUUUCAAUUCAAGAGGUGUGUCGAACGAAUUAAUUAAGGUCCUCCGGUACGCUUUUAAUGUUAAGAUGCAUUACUUUGUUUAAAUUAAACAAUUAUUAUGCAAAUGUACGAUAAUUAUAAUUGAUAAGGAUGACGUCAAUUAGAUCAUUAAUCAAAUUUAUUACUUGAACGCAAAUAAAGGGCAACGGUUAUAAAGUACUAUAUUUACAUAAAGGUUAUCGAAACUUCAGUUUAAAUUGAUUGAUUGAUGCUUUAUAGUUUACUAAACAAUAAUAAUUAUUAUCGUAUUCUCUUGUUAGUUUAGUUUUAAGGGACAUGUUUUUUUAGAUAUCGCUAUUACUAGCUAUUACCGUAGCUAUUACCACAACUAAGACAAACUUUGUUCUUGGAUAUUUUUUUUUAUUAUUAAAAUCUAAAGCCAACUUUCAAGUUCUCCGUGCCGUGUAGCUUUCAUAACGCCGUUUCACGCGCCGAAUCAUAUCUUGCCGCGAUAACGUUGGCUGCCGAUGAAUGAGUACAAUUAGUUCCGUUUUGUGUAGGAGAAAUUCUAUCAGUGGUCCGUUGCAGAGAUAAGAACGACCAAUACGGUGGGAGAGUUCUGGCUACGUCGGAACGCGCCACCUCGUACGAUGUGUGUCGUCACAAUCGAACAGGAUGCGAGCACGCGACACACAUAAUACACAUGUACGAUCACAUGAGCAUUCAUAUUAAGUGCAAACUGAUUACGCGUUGCCAUAACAAUACCGCCUCGAUAAUAGGGUAAAGUGUACAUUAAUCUAUGCUCCAACCUUACAUUCGAUGUGAAACAUAAUUAUGUUGUGUACUAUAAAUCCUUAUAUAAUAUCCUUUUCAUUUUGAUUCAUAUUUUUUGCGUCAUCUGAACUUGAUAGCUUGGUGUGUAUCUGUUUGCUACUUAGAUCGUUAAUAUAUGACUCUUAAUCUCUCACAAAAAAUGCGGAUGCAAAAUAAUAACGCACAAUAUUAAAAAAGAAAUCGAUAUUGUUAUUAGAUAGAUAUUUAUAAAAUUAAAUUAGUACGGGAAGCAAAAACUUUGUACCCUAUUUUACGAAAAUUGCGCGGACGAAGGAGUAUGAAAUUUACUACACUAAUAGAGAAUAUAGAGAAGGAGCGCAAAAUGUUAAUAUUUUUUUAAAUAAUACAUAAACAAUAUGUACAUUAAAUCAAUAAAAAAAACAUUACACACACUACCAUGUAUUUGACACACACACAAUCAUGCAUACUAUUUGUUUAUUGUCAAACUUUUCUUAUUGCUUAUAUAGUCUGUGGUCAAAUUGAGAAUAGAUUAAAUACUGUUUGUCAUAAUAUUAAUAUUUGUCUAAAGUGUAGUCUUGGCAAAAUCUUUGUUUUAAAUAGAACUUUUAUAUUCUUUGACAAUAGAAUCAUAAUAGUGUAAAAAUUUAUAAUUUCAAUUAUAGACGAAUUUCGACUACUGCGGGACCACUAGUAAAAUUAAAUGUUGUAUGCCAUAUACUGUCUAUAACAAUAUAAAUACAGUCUGGUUUAAAGUUUUAAUUAAAAAAAAAACAUGUUUUUUUUUCUAACGUUUAAAUAAUAAAUAUAUCUUUGAACGGA